AAUCAUUCAGGAUUUUCAAAAGAACCAAAUUUCAAAAAGCUGCGAGAUUUAUUGAGAAAUCAUAAAUUGUUCAUGAUUUCAAAGAAAAAUCGCAUAUCAUAAAAAAAUCACAAUAUCAACUAGAUGUUCAUGAAAAAAACAUGAUUUUUUUUAAAAAUCCAGUAUUCAAAGUACAUUCUGGAAUUAGAAAAAAAAAUAUACAUGAUUUUUUUGAAAUGUUUCCAAAAUUAAAACAGGCCCGUAAAUGAUGAACAAAACGAAACAUCGCCUGCGUCGAAGUUUUAAUAGGGGAUCUGUAGAGGUCAAUUUAUGAUUUUAUUUAGUCCCUUGCAUCGGGUAAAAAAAAGAUUUCCAUGUUUCGUACGACGCUGAAGCCAAAAAAUAUUGACACAAUUUUCUAUGGGUUAGUUUUUGUAAACUAUAUAAAAUGACUAAAUGUCUAUUUUGCCUCCAUACACAGCUAUGUUUAUUCUGGUACCAUGGUAAUUGUUAUGACAACCACCGCUACGCUAGGUCAAGAUUAUAUACAUCAUUCAUCAGUCUAGCUUAGGUAGGGUUCAUCAAUGCAGUUUACUCAGCCAAAACUAAUUCGUUGUGGCGCCUUAGGAAAUCAAAUCAUGGUCAAACCAUCACUUUUUUUUUGAAAUGACUUUUCAAAAGUCUCUUAUCUCAUCAUGACAUCACUUAGACAUAGUUUUUGAAAUGACAUUUUAAAAGCCCUUAUCUCACCUUGGCAUUUUAAAAGCCAUUAUCUACCACUCCGGCAUAGUUUGAUAGUUUUUCCUCCCGUUGCAACGCACGGGCAUAUUUGCUAGUACUAAUAAAGAAGCGAUUGCUUGGGGUCGUACGUCAUUAGCAAAUUUACAAAAAUGUCCCUCUGGUUAUGAGAAUUCAACCCGCGGUCCUAUUUUAAAUUAAGAAAACGCUUCAUUUUUACAUAAAACACCCGGCAAUCACCACCGUGCACCACGGCCUCUUAUCCAUUCCCUCCACCACCACCGGGCACGCGCCGCCACGCACAGCCGUUUGCCGCCAGAGUCCACGCCACAGGAGCCAAGGAGGCGGGCGUACGCGUUGCCCGAGCCCAGGAAUGGGGCGAGGCGUCGCGGCUGGCGUUGGCAAAUUCAUUCCCGGCGGCGGCGGCUUCCGGCGAGGAGGCGAGCGAGCUCGGGGAGCUCCGGCGGGGGCUUGUCGCCGGCGAGGCGAGGCCGAGGCGGCGGUGCGCGGGCGCGAGGAGGCGGGGUCGAGGAGGCGCAGGAGGACGCCGGGCGGGGGCUUGGCGAGGGUGACGGCGGUUGCGAGGGCUUGGCGGCGACCGGCGUGCUCGCUUGGGAGGAUGGAGGCUGCCUCGCCAGGGCUCGGGCGCGGCAGUACGGCGUCGGGACGUUGCCGAUGUCGCCGGGGCCGGGGCGGUGGUUUAACGGGCGACGAGGAGGAGGUGCUGUCCUAGAGCCAGCGACGGCGGCUGCAGCUUGACGAUGCGGGCGUGAACUGCUUGCUUCAGGGGCUGCGGGCCGUGAGCGGCGCUGUGCUUGCGCGCGAGACAUGUGUCUGAUUUGGAAAGAAUCAAUCCGUUGAAGGAGAAGGCCAAUGCAACUGCUCUCUAGAUAGGCACUCGAGUGUCCAUCCCAAUGGAAUGGUACAAAUUGCUGCUGGUACUGAACAUUGACAGAUAAAACUUAGCAUAUCCAGAAAUACAUCAUUAUAAGCUACUUCCAUAGAUGCAUUUAGAUCAUAGCAUCUGAACUUGAGGAUAGCAGACAAAAAUUCAAACAGAAAGCAAGCUACGCUCCAUAUUGUGUUCUUUAUAUCCCAUAUCGAAUAACAGGUUCGUAUUUGAUUGGUUUCUUCACAGCAGCGCAUGGACAAUAAAAGAUCUCUGUUUUGAUAUAUUUCUAUGCCAUGAUUUGUCUAUUGCCACUGUUUCUGAAUUUUUUUUUGUCCAUAAAUCAUGCGACUCAAGUCAAUUUGAGAUCGAAUUUGUUCAUGAGGUCAAAACGGAACCUUGCGACAGCUCCAGGUUAACAUACAUCCAUACUGAAUUUUCUUGGCAUAAUUGUAAAGACUGUUCUAUGUAUUUUUAUGGCAGCGACGUGAGGUUUUUAAUUGGUAUUGUGCUUGAAACAAAGUUGCAUGAUACAUAUUUCCUACAAUCAUUUUGAAAGGUUUGCCCCCUUUUUGUAGGUUAUAAGAUAGGUCCUGAAUUCUUGGCAGAUAUUGUAUGAACGCCUAUUCAGAGUAUUUUGCCCUUGAUUGCAAAGAUAUUAUCUUACAGAUAACCUUUGACUUCUCGAUGAACUCUGUACUGUCAGUAUUUGUGCACAAUGCACAUUCUGAAACUUACAACUAUUAGUGAUCAAUGAGAAAAGAACACUUGAUCCUCGAUUCUUAAACUAUCAUCUUACUCAUAACCAUGUACUACUCAGUGAACUCUAUAUAUCUAUCAGUAGUUGUAAGCAGUACAAAGCGGUGUCAAAUUCAGUAUUAUAUGUACAUGAGUUUGCUUAUUUCAGGCAAGCAACAACAAACAGACUUUGUUGUUUUUAGUCUAAUGCGAUAUUUGUUGGGCGUCACCGAGGAAUGCCAGCAAAGGCGUGAAGAAAUACUUGUAAUCAGUGUGACAUGUCGUGUGAGAUGAAGGUGGCAAACCAUCACUUGAAGCCAAGCAUGUGGUGGAUCCGCCAUGGAUGAUGGAUGGACCGAUGAGUGUAGAAGUUUGAGCUGCGAAACUUUGUGCGAUCGAGCUCUUGGUGCAAUUAAGCAUAUGGCUUUUGUGAUGUGUCAUGUAGGCAGUGAUUGACUAUAUUUCUUUCCCUCUUAAAUUUGUUGUAAUAAGGUUACCCUUUACAGAAGAAAGAUUGAACCGCCUUUUGGUUUAGGUAGAAGCACCCUUUGAUGUUUUCCAAUUCUUUGUAUUCAUUCUAUUAUGUGCUAUAAUAGUUAAUUGCAUAUAUAUGUACUAUGUUUGGAUAUUCUCACGCAACAUCUAUGUACAACAGAUGCAGAUUUUCAGAAUAUUUAACCAAAAACCUUUGCCUGCACUGUUCAGAAUAUGAAGCCAUAUUAUAAUAAAGUUUAUUACUACA